UCACAUAUUAUGAAUGAUGGCUUUGCUGACUUGCCCUAUUUGGACGGCAUGGCUUCUAAGUAAGCUAUGUAAACACAAGCAGUAAGUAAGAAAAUUCCCAAAUGAGACAGGUACAAAUACCAGAGAUAUCCCUGAAUUUAGAAAUGCAUACAUCCAUUAAUAUAAUGUUCAGGGGGUGGGGGUUGAUGUUCCCCAAUUACCAACAGCAAACGGGUGGAAUAUCGUUUUGCUGACUGUAGAAACAGCCCACAUUGAUAAAUGUGGAGUCUCCCUUCUUAUUGAAAAGAUUGCCCGAAGGUAGUCCUGAUACUGACGGGGAACUUCCCUAACUAUCUGCGGACAGAAGGCCAAUGCCAGAUCUCUCCCUUCCUAUUUAUUUUAUUUGUUUGCUUACUGACAAAAAAAAAGUAACUUGUCUUUUUGGCCGCUGAGGUGAGGCUGACAGUUGCUUUUGCCGCAGACCGGCAGUAGGGAGCCGAAGGCGGAGCUUGCUGGUGCUCCAGAGCCGUACGGGUUUAAGGAUUUAGCGGCGGUCUCAGGGGGAGGACUGCGGCUCAGCAGCUCGGCGCGCCUUUGAAGCAGCAACCCGGACAUGGACAAAAUAAAUUACAUUCUCCUAACGGCAUUCAUUCUCCUAACCAUAUCCUGCAGUUCUGGCUAUGCACUUCGAUGUUAUUUCUGUGAACAAAGUCCUUUUCUCUGUAGAACCAACCUCACUUGUUCUGAGGAAGACGACGCUUGCUUGCAAAUUAGAAUGGUGAAUUUGAGAACGUACAGGUGCUGGAAAAUGUCAAAAUGCAGCAAAGAUGUUGUAGCCCAGGAGUUUAGCGUUGACAGUUUUAGACACCUUUGCUGCCAAAGAGAUUUCUGCAAUAAGAGUCCAGACCUCCUCAUCAGUACCACUCCCCUUGGUAUUUCGGCAGUGAUUGUGGUUUGGAUGAUGUCCCGAUGAUAUGCAGAUUCAAAGUAAUAUGUUCUCUGCAUAUCCCAGUUCUCCCCAGAUACACAAGCACUUUUACUGGAGCAACUAAAGCUAUUUGAAGAAGCAAUGUCUUUUUAACCAGAAUAGUGUUAAAGCUAAACCAAAAAAGAAAUGGAGAAGAAAUAUAUAAAAAUGGAAAACCAGUUUUGUAAGAAAGUACUCUCACUCAGUGCAUGUUGAUUUGUCUUUGACAAUUGAAUCUUCUCCUUAAUAUUUAAUCUCUGGUUAAUCUAUGGCAGCGAAAAUGCUUAUUUAUCAUAUUUCUGGGCAACUUUGUUUUGUAGGGAAGCAAAUUUGUAUUUUUUUGCCUUUAUCAGUUUCAACAGCUGCAUGUUUAUCAGUAAAGAUGGAUACUGUAUCACUUUUAGUGCAAGCUCAUCAUAAACAUGUUUAAGAGGUUACCAAAACAAAUGGUUGUAGGAUCCCACUGUUAAUAGUCCUACAUUGACAGAUUUGACCUUCUAUCUGUUUUAACAUGCUAUUGCAAUCUUUAUUAUCCAGAUGUUAAGCUAACUACUCUGCAGAGAACUCAUAUAUGUGGCAUGUUAUGUAGUAUACUCAGUAACUACACAGCUUUUCAAAACUUAUUUUCUAUUCCUUAGCACAUUUACACAAAGAACCUAAUAUUGACAGAGCUUAAUUUAAAAGUGCAAUUUCCCCUUUUCAUUGUAUUGUUUUCUGUGAAGACUAUUCAAUAGAGAAACACUGAAAAGUAUUACUUAACAGAGUCCUUCCUAUGAUAGGCACAUUUUAAAAGUAUAUUAUAUAUGGACAAUAGUUAACAUUUUUAUGCAGAUUUUCCCAUAUAUCUAGAAUUGUUGGUAUCUUAAAAAAGUAUUGAAACAACUAUGUGCAGUAUAUUCUACUUACUAAAUAUGUAUAAAGAUUCCUGAGAGAACCCUGGCUUUGCUUUCAUAUGUAUAAAUCCUGUGGUUUUUAUCUUAAGAUCAGUAGUCUGUAACAUUAUUAUAACUUAUUUCAGUGGGAACUAAUAUGGUCCAAGGAGGCAAAGCUGAUGGGCAAAGAUUUUUCACUUUUUUCCACUAAUUAAAUGAAGGAAUUAGUAGGGUCUGUAUACAGACUGUUAGAACUGACAAAGAAACCCAAAAGAAGACAAAAAUCUGCUAACUGCCAACUAACAGAUAAGCAUCAUAUGUGAUUGCAAUGAACCUGAGUGUUGGGAAAUAGAGAAACCAAAAAGAAAAGUAUUUCCCAUCUAUACAUAAUUAACCAAGUUGCUUAUAAUUAUACAACUAUCCUGGCUGAAUUCACCACCAUCACUUCAGCAACAAAGUAAGCAAUCACAUUUUACCCUAUUUUGGUGAGCAACCCAGCUAUUGUUUUUUUUGUAAAUCCUUAAGUUGGAAUAAAACAGGUCAAAUUUCAUUCAACAAGAAAAAAACUUAUCACCUGUUUGUACAAAAUAUAUUCCUAAGAGGUCUGUAAGAGGCUUGCAUAAGUGCACCAUCAUGCCUACCAUCCCUGUCCUAUUGUCCCCAUUUAUUCAUACCUAUUUCCUGUAUUCUUACUCAUGUUUAUACUUAUAUCUAUUAUCUUGUAAGCUAUUGACAAAUCAAAUAAAUAAAUAAAAAUAUUCGAUGUAUGUUAUUGCAUAUUUAACAAAGGUAUCACAAUAAAUACUAUGA
rnacentral:lncRNA from 1 species